rnacentral:rRNA from 1 species
CCUACGGGUGGCAGCAGUGGGGGAUAUUGCACAAUGGGGGGAACCCUGAUGCAGCGACGCCGCGUGGGUGAAGAAGCGCCUCGGCGCGUAAAGCCCUGUCAGCAGGGAAGAAAAUGACGGUACCUGAAGACUAAGCCCCGGCCAACUCUGUGCCAGCAGCCGCGGUAAUACGGAGGGGGCAAGCGUUAUCCGGAAUUACUGGGUGUAACGGGGGCGCAGACGGCGAGGCAAGCCAGGGGUGAAAGCCCGGGGCCCAACCCCGGGACUGCUCUUGGAACUGCGUGGCUGGAGUGCAGGAGGGGCGGGCAGAAUUCCUGGUGUAGCGGUGAAAUGCGUAGAUAUCAGGAGGAACACCGGUGGCGAAGGCGGCCUGCUGGACUGCAACUGACGUUGAGGCCCGAAAGCGUGGGGAGCAAACAGGAUUAGAUACCCCUGUAGUC